AGCUCUUCAGUUCAGUCUCAUUUGGGGGCAGCUGUGUGAAAGCAGCUCUUCAAUCCAAGGCAGCAGCAACUACAGAAGCCUCUCCGUCACAGCAAGAACCACUGUGUAAGAAGCCACUCAAUCCCAUGCACACCACUUAUUCUGGAGGCAGUGGUACUCAAGAGGGAGAAAGGUCCUAGAUAGUCCUUUUGCUGUGUGAACCUCAGGUUUUGUAACGAGUUUCUGAUAUCAUGCAAGACUCUACGCAGCUGCAUUUCAACAGUGGAGGGUGAACUGAUUGAGUGAGGCUGGUGGGUGUGUCCAAUGUUCCUCGGUGAGAAAGAACAGCCAAAAGGAGAAGGUGUGUCGUAUUUGUAAGUAAAAGAAGGAGGGCUACACAAAGUCUGCUUGCCUGGACCUAGCUGGACAUUCACAGAGGAGACAACUCUCACGGGGUUUAGUAGUGUGGUUGGGAGGGACUGGGAACGUCUCAGGGGGUAACCCAGCUCAGCAAUUCGAUGUCUCUGCCUGAAAAGAAGGUCUUUGGAUUUGAGAAGAGUGCGCCCAGCUCUGGAAUCUGAUGAUCCACUGAUCCUCCUCUGGGCCCUUUGCAAGGCGAUGUUAACUCGCUCUGCUGAGGAAGGG